ACUGAGCAGCAUGGUUCCAAAGGACAGCAAAAGCACUUUACUGCCUUAGAAGGAGGGGAGGCUUUGCCAGGCCUAUGAAACCCUCAUCUGGAUCUGGCCUCCAGGGCAGCCUCCUGCCUGCCUCUCUGGUGAGGCUCAGCUUCUGCUCUGCCUCACCAGCUCCCCUCCAGUUCCCCUCACUCUGAGGGUGCAGGGAGCAGGGUCCCACGGGAGCAUUGGUGUGAGAGGGAGCUCCCAGCACCGAGGGAGAAGCAGGACUCACUGACCAAACCAUGUGUUUGUGCUGGAAGGGCCUCACUGCAAACAUGCUCAUCUUAUGGAAGAAGAAAGGAGGUUCAGAGAGGGAAAGGCUUGCCUGAGGUCACACGGUUCCUGGGGAUGCAGCUGGAGCCGGGCUGGUGGAAGCAGCAGGCCGAAGUGUUUUAGAAU
rnacentral:lncRNA from 1 species